CUCAUGCAAGCCUGGUGCUGUCUAUUCCCACAUGGAAUAAAAAUAAAGAAUGAGAAAGACAGACACUUUUUGUUCUGAGGAUUUCAAGACUGACAAUUGGUUUGGGGACUCUGCUGGUUUCAAGUCUGCUAGUUAGUUCUCCGCACCAUUUCUGUGACCCAUCACUGUCACCCCAAAUAACGGCGCCUUCAGCCUGCAGAAAGUGCCUUGGGGUUUUCACUGGCAAAAAUGAAGGAAGCACAAAAAUAUUUUCAAUCAGUACUGGAACAAACUUCACAUUGCACAGCUGCAGUGAAAGUGCCGUCCCCCAGAGACCCUCCAGAAUUUGAUUAAGGAAGGUAAUCAGGAGGAGCCGAAGAGUUUCAAAUCCUGCACAAUGAGCCUCAUACACAAGCUGAAGAGCACGCAGUGUCAUCUGCAUUGAAGUAUCAGCACCUUGACUCUGCCUUGGCACACAGGCUACUCUGAAACUGGAGAUACUAUGAAAAUGAGGAGACCUAAAUCUGCACAGGAGGUGGAAUAAACCAUGGGAAAGAGAGAGGCUGAGGGUGACAAGCUUAUGCUCUCCUGCUGAAAGAUGGAGUCCACACUGGAGUGAGAGCUUUGUGGUGGGGCAGCCCCAGGAGAUGUGGCUGGCACCCACCCCUUCCUGACCCUGCUUUGGCACACUGCCCUGUUCCUCACCUCCUCCACGCCGCUGCCUGCAGUGCCCAUCGUAUGCCCAGUGGCCGGGGAGCAAGCUUUGCCACACUCCAGCCCUGCAAGCCUCCAGACUUACUGCCGUGUGUGAUCUCUGCUACCAGCCAAGGUAAAUUUACAAACCCACAAACCUCAGUUGGGAUUUUGCAUGUCCUGAUGCUUGCUUUCACACCUCUCUGGUCUCAUUGGCAGUGGCUGCGCAUCGAGGUGCACAGGAUUUCUCCUCUUGGGAAAACAGCCAAGAAAAUGUCAACUAGCAAGUACAGAGAAGCAGCAAAAGACUGUGCUUUUCAAGACAGAAGUCAGUGAGUUGGACACUGCCAAGUCUGAACCCUGUACCAAGCACACACAGAAAAAUUUGACCCAACUGCCAGCAAACUAAGAUUCCUUUGGUGUGUUCUGCUGAGAUUCCAUUACUGCCUUUAUCAUUAAGAAAAUAAUGUAAUAAAAUGAGACCUUUUCCCUGAAUGCAUUAAUAAAGAUAACUUGUUGGUCAAGCUCCAAAACCACUGGAGCCACAUUUAAUUUACUGCUUUUAUGGAUUUAGGAUUUGGUUUGCUGCUAUGUUCAGUCCACUGCAACAAUAUAAUGGGAAAUUGUAAUGGCAUGUUUAAAAGAAAGGGUUCAUAAUCUAUCACUGAAGCUUUAAAAUGUCUUGUGCAAACAUCCACAAUUAAAUGCUACCAAAAAUGGUCAUUUCACAUGGUUUCACCGCAGCUCACCAAAAGAGGAGGGGAGGAAAGACCCAAAUAAGCAUUAAUGUAGCUUUUUGUGCUAGUCACCUUCUAACAGCCUGGGGAAGAGAACUGCUAAAAGAACUGUAAAGGCUUGCAACCCCACUGCUGCUCCUCAUAUUAAGAGCAUCUGUGCAUUACUUCAUAAAAUAUCAGAUGACAUACUGCCUUAUUUCCAAUCAAUAAAAAUAACAAUAUGUUAUGCAAAGGUCCUUCUGAUGUCUUAUAAAUAGUUGUUCAGAAGGGCAUUGGCCUUUUGUCAGUGCCUAGUUCAGGUGGUGGAGACCUUUCCAUCAACCAACACAUAAAACAUAAGAAAACAAGAGCACCUGUGAAGUGCAAGGCCAUAAGCCUGACACGUUGUGACUAGGAUAAAGAUGGCACCAAAGCCAUGCAGUCCAUCAACCUCUGCACAAGAAGAGCCCAGUUUCUUAAGGGCCAGAUUCUGCACUUCUCAUACUGAGCAGGAACUACUCCAACAGCUGCCUUCAUUUGGGCUUGCUGCUGCCUUGUGCUGUGAGAAUAAUGAGGAAAGCUGCUGAGUUUUGGCUUAUUUGAAACAAAAAGGCUCUGGUGCAGACAGAGCCACCUCUUCCUCCUGCUCUGGCUUGAGAAGACGGCGACAGGACAAACUUGCUCUGCACACCACUGAGCAGGCUGCUGCUGGUGUGCCUGUGAUGUAAUCCAGCCCCGGGUGAAGAAAAAUAAAAGCUCCUGAUGGAAAAUGAACACCAAACCCACUCAGUUCCUUUGGAUUUAUUUUAAGAUUGUGGGUUUCAGUAAAGAAUGUCUGACAAAUUCUUUCAAAUUGUCCUAGGAAAUGUGCCCGUCUCUUCACUUGGGGGCAAGAGAGGAAGGAAUUUGCCAUCUUCAUUUUACCACUGUGAUUGAUUAAAUGCCUCAUAGGUAGUGCUGGACAAAGGCAUUCUGAAAUUCAGGUGGCAAAAAAAGUGCUUUGUUUAGAAAAUGUGACUGGUAUGGAGCCUUUCUCUAGCUGCAGAUUUAAACAAAUACAUUGUUUUUUAUUUGCGUUCGGCAGUUUCCAUUUGUGCAGCUUUUGCCAGAAGACUGAAGAGGUCUGUGAUAUGUAAUUUACUGCUCAGUGAUUUUAAAGAUGAAUGUUUGGACUCUCAUUGAUAUUUGAUUUUUAUUGCUCAUUUUGUUACCAGGGGAGGUUUCCACAUGUAGCUUUAUAUAAACUCGGUCUGGUUUCUUGUUCUGUCCUCAGGAUAUAGCAUGUCUUGCUUCUCUAGGAGCUUGGAAACAAUGCUCUGUUUUUCGGUCUUUUUUUUUUCUUUUUUUUUUUUUUUUCUCCUUCCAUACAGCUUAUGACUUAUACUUUCAGUGAAUUCCUUGCUGAAGGUAAGUUCUUAUUGUCAGAAUUUGUCAGUGAUGUUGGGGCUCCCCACCCUUGCAGGCGCAGUACAAGAGUCCCAGCAGCAGCUGGGCAUGGGGAACACUACUUGUUUCCAUACUUCUGGAUGCCCUAAAACCCACAUGAAGCCUGCAGGCUCAUGUUUCUGUCAUGGGAACAAGAGGAAAAUUGUCUGUGAGUGGGCCUGGGCCUCAGCAGAGAUACAGUGAAGGGCCUACUCUGGUCAGCAAGGCCCGGGUGAGACCCUGAAAGGCCCAGUCCCUCCGGGGCCCCUCCUGCCAGCUCAGCUUUAUCAUCAUACGGAUGUCGUGAAGCCCACCCCAACCAAAGUGGCUUUUGGGCAGCUCUGAUCUACCCUGGAGCACCAGGACAUGGAAGCCCUGUCAGUAAGGGCUGAGCCUGGUCCUCCUGCCUGCAGACACCUGCCUCAACGCCUGGCAAGCCAUCGGGCUUACACCAACUCAAAGCCCACUGAUAGAGGGACACUCCUGGCAACGCCCUAUGGCAGGCCCAAUAUGUGUUGUCAGAAAAGAGCCUUUUACAAAAUAUAGCAGCGGCGCUGUUAAAACAUCCCUUUGGACAGCAGCUGAGGAGUUGUAACACUCUGCUAAGGAGCAAGCAAAGCCACUUCAUUUCCUCCUCCCCUUGGAGGCGUUACAGCUCACCAGGUUCCCCGAUUGUGUUUCACCUGGGCACCUAAUCAAACAAACUCUUCAUGAAAUAAGAGCUGACUGAGCAAUAUGUCAAACUCUGCAACUCUACGUAAAAUAGAAGUUGUUUUAAAAUUAUUUGCCAAAUUAGCUCAAGUGAGCCAGAAGUACUCGCUCCUAGCCAAAGCCCUCAAUGCAAGUUUGAAAGUUGAAAUAAAACUUUUAGGGCUCUUGAAAGAACAGGAGAUGAGGGAAAUGGCAUUCAUGUUUAUUACAGAAAUGUAAUUCAUAAUCCCAGUGGUGGGAAUGCUAAUGCCUUUUGAUUGAUUACAGCGAUUUCUCUCUGAAGAAAAAAAGAUCUCCAGACCUGAGGACACUGCAAAGAGCAAAUGAAAUAUUCUGUAAUCAUGGCUAUGACUUGGGAAAGCAAUCAGGUAGAUGCUGUACCUGAAGUACCCGCGUUAAGUGCUUUUUUGUGUAGGGUUGCACUUAA